rnacentral:rRNA from 1 species
CCCGGGGGGGGCCUAAUAAUGCAAGUCGAACGCGUUGGCCCAAUUGAUUGAUGGUGCUUGCACCUGAUUGAUUUUGGUCGCCAACGAGUGGCGGACGGGUGAGUAACACGUAGGUAACCUGCCCAGAAGCGGGGGACAACAUUUGGAAACAGAUGCUAAUACCGCAUAACAACGUUGUUCGCAUGAACAACGCUUAAAAGAUGGCUUCUCGCUAUCACUUCUGGAUGGACCUGCGGUGCAUUAGCUUGUUGGUGGGGUAACGGCCUACCAAGGCGAUGAUGCAUAGCCGAGUUGAGAGACUGAUCGGCCACAAUGGGACUGAGACACGGCCCAUACUCCUACGGGAGGCAGCAGUAGGGAAUCUUCCACAAUGGGCGCAAGCCUGAUGGAGCAACACCGCGUGAGUGAAGAAGGGUUUCGGCUCGUAAAGCUCUGUUGUUAAAGAAGAACACGUAUGAGAGUAACUGUUCAUACGUUGACGGUAUUUAACCAGAAAGUCACGGCUAACUACGUGCCAGCAGCCGCGGUAAUACGUAGGUGGCAAGCGUUAUCCGGAUUUAUUGGGCGUAAAGAGAGUGCAGGCGGUUUUCUAAGUCUGAUGUGAAAGCCUUCGGCUUAACCGGAGAAGUGCAUCGGAAACUGGAUAACUUGAGUGCAUAAGAGGGUAGUGGAACUCCAUGUGUAGCGGUGAAAUGCGUACAAAACGGUGUUAGUGCCUUGAGCAUGGUGAU